GUUUGUUAUGCUGUGUGUGUUUAGAGGUGUUUUUGUCAUGCUGUGUGUGUUAGAGGUGUUUUUGUCAUGCUGUGUGUGUUAGAGGUGUGUUUGUCAUGCUGUGUGUCUUAGAGGUGUGUUUGUCAUGCUGUGUGUGUGUUAGAGGUGUGUUUGUUAUGCUGUGUGUUAGAAACAUAGAAACAUAGAAUGUGACGGCAGAUAAGAGUCAUUCGGCCCAUCUAGUCUGCCCAAUUUUGUGUGUUAGAGGUG